rnacentral:rRNA from 1 species
UACGAGAGGUGCAAGCGUUGUCCGGAUUUAUUGGGCGUAAAGCGUUUCUAAAGGCGCUUUUGUAAGUUAUCUUUUAAAGACCGAAGCUCAACUUCGGGAAGGGGGAUAAUACUGCAAGAGUUGAAAUAUUUCGGGGUUACUGGAACUAUUGGUGUAGGGGUGAAAUCCGUUGAUAUCAAUAGGAACUCCAAGGGCGAAGGCAGGUAACUAGGAAUUUUUUGACGCUGAUGAACGAAAGCUAGGGGAGCGAAAGGG